rnacentral:rRNA from 1 species
GAUGAACGCUGGCGGCGUGCCUAAUACAUGCCAGUCGAGCGAACGGACGAGAAGCUUGCUUCUCUGAUGUUAGCGGCGGACGGGUGAGUAACACGUGGAUAACCUACCUAUAAGACUGGGAUAACUUCGGGACACCGGAGCUAAUACCGGAUAAUAUUUUGAACCGCAUGGUUCAAAAGUGAAAGACGGUCUUGCUGUCACUUAUAGAUGGAUCCGCGCUGCAUUAGCUAGUUGGUAAGGUAACGGCUUACCAAGGCAACGAUGCAUAGCCGACCUGAGAGGGUGAUCGGCCACACUGGAACUGAGACACGGUCCAGACUCCUACGGGAGGCAGCAGUAGGGAAUCUUCCGCAAUGGGCGAAAGCCUGACGGAGCAACGCCGCGUGAGUGAUGAAGGUCUUCGGAUCGUAAAACUCUGUUAUUAGGGAAGAACAUAUGUGUAAGUAACUGUGCACAUCUUGACGGUACCUAAUCAGAAAGCCACGGCUAACUACGUG